AUUCCUUUGAUUUUGGGGAAGAUAUAAAGCGAGCAACACUUCUCAUACAUGCUAGGAAGACAGAUGCAUGCAAGACGUGCAAAUGCUCCGUACGGGUGAGUAAUGCUUUGGAGUUAAUCAUCCUAAGGACCAUAUCCUUAACUGAUGAGCCAAAGUCGUAUUAGGUGAAGAUACCCUCUUACCAAAGAUGCGUAGCUGAAAAGCCACACUUCCACUGAAACAAGGGGGAGACUCGGAAUUAGAGGCAGCAGUAGAGAAUCUUGUGCAAUGUAUGAAAGUAUGACACAGAGAUGUUGCAAAAGAAGACCGUCAAAUAUACGUGCCAGCAGACGCGGUUAUACGUAAGGUCUAAGUUUUUAUCCGAAAAGGCGUAAAAAGUGUGUCGGCGAUUAUUGUUAGGGUUUUAGGGAGCAAAUGGAAUUUUUAUGUAGCGGUAGAAUGCUUUCAUAUAAAUUAGAACACCGUAGGCGAAAGCAGCUUGCUAUCAACAACCGACGCGGAAACACGAAAGUAAGGGGAGCAAAUAGGAUUAGAUACCCUAGUAGUCCUUACUGUAAAUUAUGAAGAUAAGAUCCCCUCAAUCCAGGGUGGUCAAGCAAAACUUAAGAUAAUUCUGCCUGAAGAGUACGAUCGCAAGAUUAAAAUUCAAAAAAUUUGGCGGUUCACUAAUCCAAUUAGAGGAGCGUGUGGUUUUAUUCGAUAGUCCGCGAUUAACCUUACCGAAAUUAGAAUCCAAACAGGUAUUGCAUGGUCGUCGUCAGUUUGUGUUGUGAAAGGAAUGGAACGAACUUAACCCUUAGUUUAAAUUAAUAGAUCCCUUAUGAUUUAGGCUAAAGGAUGACGUCAGGUCCUUAUGAUCCAUAUGUUUUGGGCCAUACAUGCGCUACAAUCUUAUACACAAAAGGAUUUUAAACCCUUUAAAGUAAAAGCUCGGAAAAUCCCUUGAAAUAAGGGGUAUGAAGUUGGAUUUAAUAGUAAUCAGAAAGUAGAGCGUUCUGGUGAAUAUGGCUCUAGUGUUCGUACAAAUCGCCCGUCAUCUCUACCAAGUAAAGAAUCCUAAAGUGUUAAGCUCAUAAAGUUUAAAUAAAACCUCUAAUAUGAAUGCUUCGUUUUGAAGAUAAUAUAUGGAAUCUCAGAUUCCAUUUAUCUCUUAAGGCCAAAUGUUUAAACCUGUGACCUAACAUCACGGAGGGUUUAUAAGGUUGAGAAAGUCGUAACACAGUGGGGGUAUUGGAAAAUGCCCCCGGAUUAAU
rnacentral:rRNA from 1 species